CGGGAGGCAGCAGUGGGGAAUAUUGCACAAUGGGCGAAAGCCUGAUACAGCGACGCCGCGUGAGGGAUGGAGGCCUUCGGGUUGUAAACCUCUUUCGCUCAUGGUCAAGCCGCAACAUUGGUUGUGGUGAGGGUAGUGGGUAAAGAAGCGCCGGCUAACUACGUGCCAGCAGCCGCGGUAAUACGUAGGGCGCGAGCGUUGUCCGGAAUUAUUGGGCGUAAAGGGCUUGUAGGCGGUUGGUCGCGUCUGCCGUGAAAUCCUCUGGCUUAACUGGGGGCGUGCGGUGGGUACGGGCUGACUUGAGUGCGGUAGGGGAGACUGGAACUCCUGGUGUAGCGGUGGAAUGCGCAGAUAUCAGGAAGAACACCGGUGGCGAAGGCGGGUCUCUGGGCCGUUACUGACGCUGAGGAGCGAAAGCGUGGGGAGCGAACAGG
rnacentral:rRNA from 1 species